rnacentral:rRNA from 1 species
UCGACCUGAACUCAGACGUGAACACCCGCUGAACUUAAGCAUAUCAGUAAGCGGAGGAAAAGAAACUAACGAGGAUUCCCUUAGUA